CGCGCCCCCCAUAGACGCGGGAUUACCCGCUGAAUUUAAGCAUAUCAAUAAGCGGG
rnacentral:rRNA from 1 species